AACGUAGGACACAAGCGUUAUCCGGAGUUACUGGGCGUAAAGGGCGUGUAGGCGGAUCAAUAAGUCUAUUCUGAAAGCUCCUGGCUAAACUGGGAGAGGCGAAUGGAGACUGUUGGUCUAGAGUGAGGAAGAGGAAAGUGGAAUUCCGCGUGUAGUGGUGAAAUGCGUAGAGAUGCGGAGGAACACCAGUGGCGAAAGCGGCUCACUGGACCGGUAUUGACGCUGAGGUGGCGAAAAGCGUGGGGAGCAAACAGG
rnacentral:rRNA from 1 species